AACCUAUGCAUUAGACAUUUUUGAAGUAAUUUUUUAAAUCGUUCCCCAAGCUUCAUAUAGCAUUUCACCUCUGGUUGUCGAAAAGACGUGAUGUCAUUUCUAAGCUU
rnacentral:snoRNA from 1 species